rnacentral:lncRNA from 1 species
CUUUUGUUGGACUCAAAUACAGACACGAGCGAAUCGAAAGUUGAUAUAUAUAAACACCAGUAGAUGGUGACGAGGGAACUUCACCAUCCAAAAAUUGAUAAUUAACAAAAGGAAAUAAAAAAUCAUUUAGUUUAUCAUAAAUUUUGAUAUUAUGCUUCCCGUUUGAAGUUAUAGAUACCAAGAUCUAGGAAAAGGCAGUGUUCAUUAUUAUUAUUAGUUUUAUUAAAAGUCAGUUCGGCGGGACAAAUCUCUUUAGUGUACAUACUGAAGUCGUCAUUACUCAGAGCCAAUAUAUCAUCUAAAUAUCUAAAAGUUGUUGUUAAAUUAUUGAAUCAGAUGUUGUUUCGAUGGGACUUUGUUGAUUUUAGUUAUCCAUUGUAACUCAUGACUAUACAGAAACAGGUCCGUAAUAAGUGGUGCGCACAGUUAUUCCGCAUAGAAAUUCCGAUAACUUGACGAUAUAAGGAAUCUCCAAAGGGAACACAAAUGGUAUCUAAUAAAAUUCAAGGGCAGUUAUAGUAUUAAAGCAGGUCCAAUUGACAUAGUUCACAAUGCAACAAUCUGUCAAAUUAUAGAAAAUUAAUGUAUUAAAAGACACUUUAUCUGAGGAUAUUCACGAACAAAGAAGGACAUUGACCUCUGUAAAUAAUGAUGACGUAAUUGCAAGUGACAACAAAGGGGCUUAGUAUAGGACAAAUUAUUUCAAUGUGUAAUUUGCAUAUAUAUGCUAUAAGGACUAAAUAUGGCAGGAUUUACUAAAAAGAAUAGGGUUAUUCAAAAGAUUCACAGCGAGCAAAUCCCGCGGCCGAAACCGGGUUUUAGCUAAUACCUUAACAAACAUUAGUAGUAGUUUAGAAAACAUGACACGCUUAACUUAAAUGAUAAUCGAUAAAAAGAAUAAUCAAAUGAUCAAUCCGACACACUGUAUGAACAUAAUUUGUAACACAUUAUUUUCUUUAAAAAAGUAGCAGUUGGACCUUCAAUAAUAAUUUACUUGUCAAAAUUUAACAUUUUACCAACUGUACAUAUAUGAUGCAACAGUUUUAUAAAAUCAUAUAAAAAGAGCAACGAUAUCAGUUACGAAAACAGUUU